rnacentral:misc_RNA from 1 species
AAGUCGUAACAAGGUAUCCGUAGGUGAACCUGCGGAUGGAUCAUUAUCACGUAUCCACGUAUCAACCAUUGUGAACUGUUGUUUUACUUCUGAUAAUAGCCUGCAAUGAGGAGAAAAAUCUUGUUCGCUCUUAUGAACUUAUGUGAAAUAAAUCCAAGUACUUGGUAUCCGAGCUAGUUAUUAUCAGGUGUAAUCUCUUUAUUAACAAUUUAAACCUUUAAUUUUAUAACUUUUGACUUACUUAUUUUAUACUCUUCGGAGAUAAAAUUCAUUACGAAACAAAGAACAACUCUUAGCAACGGAUAUCUUGGUUCUC